GAGUUUGAUCCUGGCUCAGAUUGAACGCUGGCGGCAUGCCUUACACAUGCAAGUCGAACGGCAGCACGGGAGCUUGCUCCUGGUGGGCGAGUGGCGAACGGGUGAGUAAUGCAUCGGAACGUAUCCUGGGAGUGGGGGAUAACGUAGCGAAAGUUACGCUAAUACCGCAUAUUCUGUGAGCAGGAAAGCGGGGGAACCUUUC
rnacentral:rRNA from 1 species